UACGUAGGGUGCAGGCGUUAAUCGGAAUUACUGGGCGUAAAGCGUGCGCAGGCGGUUUCUUAAGUCAGAUGUGAAAGCCCCGGGCUUAACCUGGGAACUGCGUUUGAAACUGGGAGACUUGAGUGUGGCAGAGGGGGGUGGAAUUCCACGUGUAGCAGUGAAAUGCGUAGAUAUGUGGAGGAACACCAAUGGCGAAGGCAGCCCCCUGGGUCAACACUGACGCUCAUGCACGAAAGCCAGGGGAGCAAACAGG
rnacentral:rRNA from 1 species